AGAGAUGGGUUGCGUGAGGAUUAAAGUUUCUGAUCAUGUAUAGUGGGAUCCAUGCAUUUUGGCAGAUUAUGUUUCUUCGUAUGGAAUGACCCUCAGACAGAGUAGUGAGAUUAUCUGAAGAGAAAUGUGAGUAACAUUCUUUCCCUCGGUUGGAUAGAUUUGAAGAGUUAGUUUUUCACGAUGAUUGAAAGGAAUUCGAGGACGAAUUCAAUAUAAGGGGGGGAGAAUGUAAUAUCCCAUAUUAUGAUCAAGCAUGAUUAUGAAAUAUUAAGAAAAUAUUAUGGAUUAAUUUGCAUUUAGAAAGAUUAGUUGGAGUAGAAGGAAAUUGGUUAGGAACUAACCAAGUGGCAAUGGUGUAAAUAUGAUUUAGUUGGAGGGCAAUUGAGACAAUUAACCUUAUGCAUGUGAACUUAAGGCUUGUUUGGAUUGAUAGUGCUUCAUAAAUCAGAUUUUUGGGAGAAAGAAGAAAGGAAUAGCCAUUGAAGCAAAGAGAAGGAAGAAGAACUCAUGAAGCAAGUUCUAUUUUCGCAACUAUUGAUACAGCCCCACUAAAUCAGGUUUGAAGUAGAGUGAUCCAUGCUGAGUUUGUGUGUGACUGCAGCUGCGAAUUUGAUGAUGAAGAAGGUGAACCUUUGGGCAAGAAGGGAGUUCAAAGGCUGCAUUAACACCACCUAAAUCUCUAUUAACCCAAGGUGUGGUUUAGUAGCGUUUGGUCAGUAACAGGUUUGGACUGAAGACUUGGAAGUGGUGUUGACUCGAAGACCUCGUUGGUUUUGACAUUCCGCUGUGCAAGAUCCAUUGAAGACUCAUGUAUUAUGUUUCCUAGUAGAAUUUCAUGUUGUAUUUAUAUGGAUCUUUCUAUAACUAUAGCUUUUGUAUGUACUCAAAUACCAAUUUUUAACGUUUCAUGCAUAAUAUACUAGUCAGUUAUGUAUGGGGCGUUACAACCUAUUACCGUAUCUUGAGUGAUCAGUUGAUUGAGUGACCUAAAAUUCAGA